rnacentral:rRNA from 1 species
CUGGAAUCGCUAGUAAUCGCAAAUCAGAAUGUUGCGGUGAAUACGUUCCCGGGUCUUGUACACACCGCCCGUCACACCAUGGGAGUCGGAUAUGCCCGAAGCCAGUGACCUAACCGUAAGGAAGGAGCUGUCGAAGGUGGAGCCGAUAACUGGGGUGAAGUCGUAACAAGGUAGC